AAAAACCAAGAGUACCUGGGAAUAUCUGUGUAUUCAACAUUUACUGAACACUAGUCACUAUCCACUAUAUACACCAUAGAAAUAGACAAUGAAGUAGAGAAGUAUUGAUCAAAUGUAAUCAUUUUAUUAGAGGUGAGAUAAUGACUAGAAUGAAACAACAACAGCACUUAACAGCAAAUUCUGAAACUUCAGAAAGUAAAAGCUCUUUGGGGAAUAAUAUUAAAGCAUGCAGAUAGUUAUAGGAAAUGUAAAGUUACAUUGCCAGUUUUUGUAGGAGAAAAAAAAAAAAAACACUAAUUACCAUGUUGGCAUGUUUUAUUUCCCAAAAGAUUGGUGACCUCCAUACCUUCAUCUUGCUCCAAGUCAUACUUCUGUGUAUAGAGAAGUCCUAUUUAUGAUGCUGUUCUCUAACACAACUUAAUCAGGCACUGGUACCAAGUGACUGAGUAUGACAUGCAGUUACAUCCAAAGUGGGCCGUAAUCCAACUAUAUCUGUCAGCUCUGGCUCCAGGAAGGUGAUGUCUGUGUGUGUUACUAAGAUUUAUGAAUAUAAAGGAAAUACAGGAAUGGACACGUGGUGGUAGAUUUUUUUUUUUUUUUAAUCCUUUGGAAAGAACAGUCCUCCUGUCCUGAAGAGGAGAUAGGCAGGGGCUACUAUGUUGUACAUUUCUCAGAGAGUAUGAUGUGAAUGGUCUCCUGGAGUAGGACACCAUGCUAGUUCUGGGUUACCCCUCCACUGGCUGUGUCGGCUGUGUCAGAGGACUCCUGGCUCCUGGAAAGCAUGUGCAGGAUUUCUGUUCAUGCUUGCCCUUGCUUCUGGCCGUAGAACCCUGGCUUCCCUUGGGGACCAUCCUUCCCCUACUUGCAGGCCAUAUGGGUCAGUGGAUUUGAUCACAGCCACUAGUUCUCAGAGUGCCGUAUCCUACCCACUUCAGUGAUGGGUCCAAGAGAUAAAAGUGACCUAACACAAGCCAGUGAAACUCAAGUCUAGGAGUUUAAUUGGAAACACUGGAAAAUAGAAUUUCUCAUUCCACGAAACUUGAAAAGUGGAGGAUAUGUACCUUGUGCCACUGGGAGCCACUGUAGCCUGAAAAAAAAAAAAGUGUAAAGGGAAGCGGAGCCAAGAGAAGGAGCAAGACAGAUUCCAUCAUGGCUCCACGUGUGCCUGAAGCUACACUCCACUUAGACUCUUCAGGAAUAUAAGUCACUUUUUUUCUUCUAAAUCUAGAUUGUCUUAGGCUUUUCUCAUUUGCCACCAAAUGUUCUCACUGAUAUAAAAAUCCUAUGACUUUGUUAAUUCUCCUCUAGUAAUGAAGUUCGUUACUGGCAUUUACUUAUUAGAUAUAUUUCCUAUUAAAUACAGUCCUAAUUAUUAAUUUUAAAGAUAUAGGAAUAUUAUGAACCAGAAGUGUUUGUCAGGAUCUAUCACUGUAAGCUAAUAUAUUGCUUUAUCUUCAUAACUCAAAGUGUUAUGUUGAAGUGAAUGCAUAUAAUCCAUGAAGUUUCUGCAUAUACAUUGGAAGAUUUAUCCAGGUCUUUAAAAUUCCCAUGUAUGAUGAUUCUACCAAUGUUUCUAGUUACAGAGAGGUCUACAGAUUUGGUUGCUUAUAUCAUGUCUUGGAAAUUUGAGCCACAAUAAAAAUUUAAAAAAAAAAUGGUGGUCAAUUCUUUGUCAUUAAAUAAGGCUAAGCACCAACACCGCAUUUUAGGUGAUUUAUGAUACUCUUU
rnacentral:lncRNA from 1 species